UGGUGUCGAGAUGCAAAAAGCAGAGGAGGUU
rnacentral:piRNA from 1 species